ACAUACGACCAUAGGGUGUGGAAAACAGGGCUUCCCGUCCGCUCAGCCGUACUUAAGCCACACGCCGGAAGGUUAGUAGUUGGGUGGGUGACCACCAGCGAAUCCCUUCUGUUGUAUGUU
rnacentral:rRNA from 1 species